rnacentral:rRNA from 1 species
GAUGAACGCUGGCGGCGUGCCUAAUACAUGCAAGUCGAGCGAACAGACGAGGAGCUUGCUCCUCUGACGUUAGCGGCGGACGGGUGAGUAACACGUGGAUAACCUACCUAUAAGACUGGGAUAACUUCGGGAAACCGGAGCUAAUACCGGAUAAUAUAUUGAACCGCAUGGGUCGAUAGUGAAAGACGGUUGUGCUGUCACUUAUAGAUGGUUCCGCGCCGCAUUAGCUAGUUGGUAAGGUAACGGCUUACCAAGGCAACGAUGCGUAGCCGACCUGAGAGAGUGAUCGGCCACACUGGAACUGAGACACGGUCCAGACUCCUACGGGAGGCAGCAGUAGGGAAUCUUACGCAAUGGGCGAAAGCUUGACGGAGCAACGCCGCGUGAGUGAUGACGGUCUUCGGAUCGUAAAACUCUGUUAUUAGGGAAGAACAAAUGUGUAAGUAACUAUGCACGUCUUGACGGUACCUAAUCAGAAAGCCACGGCUAACUACGUG